CCCACCCGGAUAGACAUUAUCUCUUUACCCCUAGCUUCCUCCUCUAUGAAGAAUGGAAGAGCUGGAGGAGGGCCAGAGAGAAUCCCUUUAAGGAGAGCACCGCCAAAAACUUGGUGCUAUUUAUUCUAAUAAUUUAUUAGAAAACAAUUAGGGACAGAACUAAUUAUAUUUCAUGAGGGUUUGAUACUGGGUUCGAAAGCAAUGUAUCUUUUAUACUUUGGGUAACGUGGUGCUUGAUUUAUAUGCUUUUUUCCCUCUACCACCCGGAUAAUAAGCCCAAGAAAUUUUUGAUGGAUUAUUAUCAACUUUGUUUAAAGCCUACUGUGAAUGACACUAUGAACAAACAAUGAAGAUUAAUAUGUCACAAAAUUGGGAUAAAUGAACAAUUCAACAUAAAUGAGACAUCCAUGAUGCUGUUGGUGCCACUGCUGAGACGCUGCUCUCCUCCUACGCAAAAUUUCUGAAAAUUAUACUGGGUAAGACUAAUGUGAACUCAACGAACAACCAGACUGAAAGCCACUCCAGUGAUCUCGCUGCUCACUUGUUGCCUGGAAGAAAAACCUUAAGAGAGAAUCCCUACUUAUGUAAGAAACACAGCGUCAUCAAUGCUCCUGAUGGCACAAAAGAUGGUGUCCCUAGCGAAGUGUCAGAAUCACCUAUCAGAAGGUGAUUCUGAAGAGAUGGUCUUUGUCCGUGCAUUUCAGAAAUGCUUGAUCUACAUCAGGUAUAUCUUCUUUUCAUUGUUACAAGAAACAAAAGACUACAUUUGAUGUAUAUCAAAUAAAGAAAACAUAUAACUAGUAACAGAA